CAGCACUCCAGCAAACCCUAGAGUCGUCUAUAAAUCGAAGCCAGUUCUCAUCUUCACCCUAAGGGCAAUUCUCAAUAAUACGGCCAUUCGCAGAGCAAUUCCAAUGGCUGCCAGAACUCUAACAGGCGCCGUGGUGGAGGCGGGGAUUUUAGGGGAGUCAGGAGAGGUGGAUGAGGUGGAGGAGGAAGCCGAAUGAAGAGAGGCGCUGUUAGAGGCGGAGCAAGAGGAGGUGGAAGAGGAGCAAGCCGAGGAAUGAAGCGACACCAAAGUUGUGGUAGGCACGAUGGCUUGUUUUAUGCUGAGGAAAUGGACGGUGCUAUUGUCACCAAGAAUUUGGUCCCUGGUGCAACUGUUCAUAAUGAGACGAGAAUCUCCACUGAGGUAUAAAAUUGAUAUUUUGAUAGAUUGAGUGCUUUUACCAUUCCUUAGCAAGGGAUCUUAUAGAAUGUCAAAUGCUCUCUAUUUUAAAGACCCAAAUAGUGAAAUUAGGCUUACACUGGAUUCUUUAUCUGAACCUUUUAAAAUGGAAUAGGUUUGGCUCUGUAUUAUGAUUCUUGGAUUUUCUUUUAGUGAUCCAGUUAUUUUUCUUGAUGUGUAAAUUGUGCUGUGAUGAGUUACUCGGAUUCCCCUUCAAGACAUCUUGGGUGAUGCAAAGACCGAGUUCUGAUGCACAGCUGAAUCAAAAUUUUAUUUCCUUCAUUAUAUAUAUAUAUAAUGGGCAAUGGUAUCUUGAUGUUCUAUCCGUUUGGCAUUUUCCUAAUUUUUAUGAAAGUGCUUGCUUUUAGAGGAAGUUGGUCCUUUUAAAAAAAUAGUUCAUAUGAAAACUAAGCUAUCUUUCUUCAAAAGCUCUCUUACGUGAAUCAAAUGUAAAAGCAAAAGUAAAAGUCAUGCCAAACGGCCCUAAGUUUACUGAACUUUGUACUUCUUACAAGCAAUUGUUUCCUUUUGUUUUAUGUUUAUGACUAUUUUUUUGAAUCUGUUGGAUGCUUUCCAAGGUUUGGAAGGUUAUUAACUUUCUUUUCAUUAUGGACUUAAACUACUCUAUAUGUUUAAAUCAUGUUAAGCUGCAGAUGACGAGUUACUCGGAUUCCCCUUCAAGACAUCUUGGGUGAUGCAAAAACCGAGCUUCUGAUGCAAUAAAUAAAUCAGUAUUUUAUUUCCUUAUUGCAUAUUAUUUGAUACCCUAAUUAGUAAUUACCAUCAUUACUAUUUUGAUUUUUUGCAAUCUAGUUCAUGAUGAGAGUUAUUGAAGUUAAUUCUACCUCACAUUCUUUUGUGAAAUUACCUGUUUCAUUGCUGUAGAAAUAUAGCUUUCUUUAUUUGUUAACCCUUGAUAUUAAUGUACAAAAAGAGGAGCUCAUGCGAAUAUAACUGGUAAAUGGCUAUGGUCUAUGGGAGUAUGUGGCUUUGUAUGGUGCUGAAAGCUCUGCUUGCUGCUUAAAAUCCAGUGAUCAUUUUCUUCUUGUCA